rnacentral:hammerhead_ribozyme from 1 species
AUCCAGCUGACGAGUCUCAAAUAGGACGAAACACGCGUCCUGAAU